rnacentral:tRNA from 1 species
GGGGAUAUAGCUCAGCUGGGAGAGCGCCUGCCUUGCACGCAGGAGGUCAGCGGUUCUAUCCCGCUUAUCUCCACCA